rnacentral:rRNA from 1 species
UACGAAGGGUGCAGGCGUUACUCGGAAUUACUGGGCGUAAAGGGUGCGUAGGUGGUCGUUUAAGUCCGUUGUGAAAUCCCUGGGCUCAACCUGGGAAUGGCAGUGGAUACUGGACGGCUAGAAUGCGGUAGAGGGUAGUGGAAUUCCCGGUGUAGCAGUGAAAUGCGUAGAGAUCGGGAGGAACACCAGUGGCGAAGGCGGCUACCUGGACCAGCAUUGACACUCAAGCACGAAAGCGUGGGGAGCAAACAGG